GGGCUGGAGGGAGCAGAUCAGGGCUGUGGCAAAGAGAACCCUGAGCCGGGGCCUCCGCUCCUGGGGAUGGGGGUGCUGCUGUAGAGGAGCUGGCGGGUGGAGGUGAGAGUCAAAAAGAAAGUUCCCUGUUGUAGAGAUUUUCAGCUUGUCCUCCAGCACCUGACAAAGCUCAAGAUGCCACAUGGCGAGGCUCUGCAGCCCAUCUGCUCAAACCUGCCCACACCGCACCUUGCUCCCGGGAGCCCUAAACCCCUCGCCGAGUCUCAGGCUGAGCAGGGGUCUCAGAUCUGGCUGCCCAUUAGAAACCUGGUAGGCUCUCACCCAAUGCAAAGGAUGCUGUGAUCCCCUCAGCAGGUCCUGAGAGAGGACUCAGCCACUGCACACCCACACUGGUCUCUGGAGGGGCAGCCACGUUCUAUCGUGGUAACGUCCGCCCCGUGGCAGGGACUGCUGACUGUCCCUACGCUCUCCUCCUUCCUCUUGGUGAUGGAAGCUACCACCCGCCGAGUUGCAGAUGCCCACAUUUCCCGGACCCUGUGCAGCUCGCUGUGGCACAGAGACUGCAUGUGGGACAAUGGGAAUACUACCAAAGGCAAGGAAGACAAUUUCCAGGUGGUCUUUUCAAAGUCCAGGCCACAUGUCCCAACUUCUUAUCUCCCUUCCCACAGAGAGGCUGAGGAGUGAGGUGAGCCAGCCUCCAUCCCGUGGGAGAGAACCACAUGACGGGCCAGCCCCAUCCCGUGGGAGAGAACCACAUGACGGGCCAGCCCCAUCCCGUGGGAGAGAACCACAUGACGGGCCAGCCCAAUCCUGUGGGAGAGAACCACAUGACGGUGGAGCCACACGUCCACCAGAGCCUAAGCGUUGGGGCCCCGAGUGACCACACGGAACCACGCUGCCCCAGGCACAGGAGCACUCAACUCUGCAGCCUCACCAGAGGGAGACGGCGCUGCCUGCCCGAGCCGCUUCACACUCAGACCUUUUCACUACAGCAGAUUCAUCUACUCACAACAAAGGGGUUGUGAGUUCUCCAAGAACAUGUUUUUAAAUAUCUUUCAGUAAAUCUAUUACAAGUUCUCAUUAGAUUGAAUUUAUUCUUAAGUUGUUUUAUCUCAGUUGCUAUUAUAAAUAAAUUAAUUUAUUC
rnacentral:lncRNA from 10 species